CGCCGUUGGGAAAAUUGAUUCCUUUACCGGGACAGUCCGAACAUUACAAUUAUCGGCAAUUACAUUUCUUUGGAAGGCGGAACGAGAAGAGAGAGAAAGAGAGCGACCGAUUCUUGAAGAGAGCGACCGAUUCUUGAGAAAAUCAUUAUAUCGAAGAUUGUGACAUGAAUAGAAUAAGUUCAGUUGAUAAACAGUAAGAGUGAACCCCAAAUACAGCUCGCAGCGAUUUGGUAACCAAGGCUGUUU
rnacentral:misc_RNA from 1 species